rnacentral:rRNA from 1 species
AACCAGCACCUCAAGUGGUCAGGAUGAUUAUUGGGCCUAAAGCAUCCGUAGCUUGCUUUGUAAGUUCUCGGUUAAAUCCAUACGCUUAACGUAUGGGCUGCCGGCAAUACUGCAAAGCUAGGGAGUGGGAGAGGUAGACGGUACUCGGUAGGAAGGGGUAAAAUCCUUUGAUCUAUUGAUGACCACCUGUGGCGAAGGCGGUCUACCAGAACACGUCCGACGGUGAGGGAUGAAAGCUGGGGGAGCAAACCGG